rnacentral:rRNA from 1 species
CAGCCGCCGCGGGAAAACGUAGGGCGCAAGCGUUAUCCGGAAUUAUUGGGCGUAAAGAGCUCGUAGGCGGUUUGUCGCGUCUGCCGUGAAAGUCCGGGGCUCAACCCCGGAUCUGCGGUGGGUACGGGCAGACUAGAGUGAUGUAGGGGAGACUGGAAUUCCUGGUGUAGCGGUGAAAUGCGCAGAUAUCAGGAGGAACACCGAUGGCGAAGGCAGGUCUCUGGGCAUUAACUGACGCUGAGGAGCGAAAGCAUGGGGAGCGAACAGGAUUAGAGACCCCCGUAGUCCCUGUCUCUUAUAC